GAAGCGAACAUCUAGUGCUUGACAGAAUUUAUGAUUCUGAUCGUCGAAUGAAGAUCCUGGUGAUGACUAUUCAACUCUUGGCUGCUCCGUUUCAGGGCUAUGGAUGUUGAACAUUUCUCAAAAUCAUCGACAAGUUAACAUAAUCUCACAAAGGCAUAAGAAAGACACAUCGACCAAUUAAAAUAGAAUUACAAUUUUGGGUGAAAUAUUUAAAAAAUAAUGAGAAUAAGACUUAGGGAAGGGAUAGUAACUAAAGCUUACUAUACAACAAAUUUUCAU
rnacentral:misc_RNA from 1 species